AUUGAACGCUGGCGGCAGGCCUAACACAUGCAAGUCGAGCGGAUGAAGGGAGCUUGCUCCUGGUUUCAGCGGCGGACGGGUGAGUAAUGCCUAGGAAUCUGCCUGGUAGUGGGGGAUAACGUCCGGAACCGGGCGCUAAUACCUCAUACGUCCUGAGUGAGAACGUGGGGGAUCUUCGGACCUCACGCUAUCAGAUGAGCCUAGGUCGGAUUAGCUAGUUGGUGGGGUAAAGGCCUACCAAGGCGACGAUCCGUAACUGGUCUGAGAGGUUGAUCAGUCACACUGGAACUGAGACACGGUCCAGACUCCUACGGGAGGCAGCAGUGGGGAAUAUUGGACCAUGGGCGAAAGCCUGAUCCAGCCAUGGCGCGUGUGUGAAGAAGGUCUUCGGAUUGUAAAGCACUUUAAGUUGGGAGGAAGGGCAGUAAGUUAAUACCUUGCUGUUUUGACGUUACCAACAGAAUAAGCACGGGCUAACUUCGUG
rnacentral:rRNA from 1 species